rnacentral:rRNA from 1 species
CCUGCCCACUGCCUGCGAUCCUAGUCCAUUCCCGCCACGCCUACCGGGGAGGAGCUUUCUCCUGUGGGAUUCGCGGCUGCCGGGUGAGUGAUACGUUGGUCUCCUGCCUCUAACCGUGGGUUAACUUCCAGCCUCCGCCGCUCAUGCCGCCGGGUUUAUAGACCCACACUCGUUCAUACAGAACGCAAUGUUUCCUAUCACUUAUUGCUGUGGCCGCGCCUCCUUACGCAAUUGGCAAGGUAACGGCUUACCCAGGCGACGAUGCGUAGCCGACCUGAGAGGGUGAUCGGCCACACUGGAACUGAGACACGGUCCAGACUCCUACGGGAGGCAGCAGUAGGGAAUCUUCCGCAAUGGGCGAAAGCCGGACGGAGCAACGCCGCGUGAGUGAUGAAGGUCUUCGGAGCGUAAAACUCUGUUAUUAGGGAAGAACAAAUGUGGAAGUAACUAUGCACGUCUGGACGGUACCUAAUCAGAAAGCCACGGCGAACUACGGG